rnacentral:rRNA from 1 species
GGGUGAGUAAUGUAUCGGAACGUACCAUUCAGUGGGGGAUAACGUAGCGAAAGUUACGCUAAUACCGCAUAUUCUGUGCGCAGGAAAGCAGGGGAUCGCAAGACCUUGCGCUGAUUGAGCGGCCGAUAUCAGAUUAGCUAGUUGGUGGGGUAAAAGCUCACCAAGGCGACGAUCUGUAGCGGGUCUGAGAGGAUGAUCCGCCACACUGGAACUGAGACACGGUCCAGACUCCUACGGGAGGCAGCAGUGGGGAAUUUUGGACAAUGGGGGCAACCCUGAUCCAGCCAUGCCGCGUGAGUGAAGAAGGCCUUCGGGUUGUAAAGCUCUUUCGGCCGGGAAAAAAUCGCAUGGGUUAAUACCCUGUGUGGAUGAUGGUACCGGAAUAAGAAGCACCGGCUAACUACGUGCCAGCAGCCGCGGUAAUACGUAGGGUGCGAGCGUUAAUCGGAAUUACUGGGCGUAAAGCGUGCGCAGGCGGUUUUGUAAGACAGGCGUGAAAUCCCCGGGCUCAACCUGGGAACUGCGCUUGUGACUGCAAGGCUAGAGUAUGGCAGAGGGGGGUGGAAUUCCACGUGUAGCAGUGAAAUGCGUAGAGAUGUGGAGGAACACCAAUGGCGAAGGCAGCCCCCUGGGCCAAUACUGACGCUCAUGCACGAAAGCGUGGGUAGCAAACAGGAUUAGAUACCCUGGUAGUCCACGCCCUAAACGAUGUCAACUAGGUGUUGGGAGGGUAAAACCUUUUAGUACCGGAGCUAACGCGUGAAGUUGACCGCCUGGGGAGUACGGCCGCAAGGUUAAAACUCAAAGGAAUUGACGGGGACCCGCACAAGCGGUGGAUGAUGUGGAUUAAUUCGAUGCAACGCGAAAAACCUUACCUACCCUUGACAUGUCCAGGAGCCUGAAGAGAUUUGGGUGUGCCCGAAAGGGAACUGGAACACAGGUGCUGCAUGGCUGUCGUCAGCUCGUGUCGUGAGAUGUUGGGUUAAGUCCCGCAACGAGCGCAACCCUUGUCGUUAAUUGCCAUCAUUUAGUUGGGCACUUUAACGAGACUGCCGGUGACAAACCGGAGGAAGGUGGGGAUGACGUCAAGUCCUCAUGGCCCUUAUGGGUAGGGCUUCACACGUCAUACAAUGGUCGGUACAAAGGGUUGCCAACCCGCGAGGGGGAGCCAAUCCCAGAAAGCCGAUCGUAGUCCGGAUUGCAGGCUGCAACUCGCCUGCAUGAAGUCGGAAUCGCUAGUAAUCGUGGAUCAGCAUGUCACGGUGAAUACGUUCCCGGGUCUUGUACACACCGCCCGUCACACCAUGGGAGCGGGUUCCGCCAGAAGUAGGUAGCCUAACCGCAAGGGGGGCGCUUACCACGGCGGGGUUCGUGACUGGGGUGAAGUCGUAACAAGGUA